rnacentral:rRNA from 1 species
UAAGUCCAGCACUGAGUAUGGCAUCUGGAAUGGCCCAUGGAGGGUGAAAGGCCCGUGGGGGUGGAGAUCAAGUCGGACAGUUUUGCCCUGAGUAGACCUUGGAGUCGGGUUGUUUGUGAAUGCAGCCCAAAGUGGGUGGUAAACUCCAUCCAAGGCUAAAUACUAGCACGAGUCCGAUAGCGAACAAGUACCGUGAGGGAAAGUUGAAAAGUACUUUGAAGAGAGAGUAAACAGUGCGUGAAACCGCUCAGAGGUAAACGGGUGGAGUUGAACUGUAAGCUCCGGGGAUUCAGCUGGUGAGUGUGUCAUGGGCUUGGUCAUUUUCGGCCGGCCUCUAGAGUCCGCUUAGCUGCGGGUCCUUGCUUCUUCGGGAGUAGGGAUGUGCGUUGCGCUUGUCAAGUGCUGUGCGCUCUGGAGGUUGCCGGGCUGGCUCGCCGGUGCACUUUCUCGGAGUGGUCACCACGACCGGCGUUGUUGUCUUACUGCUGUAGUCAAACCGGUCAGGUUUGGUCCUUGUGGCUGAGCUUGAUCGGGAUGGCAGGUAACUCAUUGGUUGGCUUGUCCAGUCUUUGGGUGUAAUCAGCUGACUGCAGUGGUUCUGUGCAAUACGUCGGAGACGGCGGCUCGAGGUAUUUGCUUAUGUGCCGUUGGCUG